rnacentral:rRNA from 1 species
UAACCUGCCUUGGAGUGGGGAAUAACAGCUGGAAACAGCUGCUAAUACCGCAUGAAAUGUCUGAAUCGCAUGGUUCUGGACAUCAAAGAUUUAUCGCUCUGAGAUGGACUCGCGUCUGAUUAGCUAGUUGGCGGGGUAACGGCCCACCAAGGCGACGAUCAGUAGCCGGACUGAGAGGUUGGCCGGCCACAUUGGGACUGAGACACGGCCCAGACUCCUACGGAAGGCAGCAG